UACAGAGGUCCCAAGCGUUGUUCGGAUUCAUUGGGCGUAAAGGGUGCGUAGGUGGCGCCGUAAGUCGGGUGUGAAAUUUCGGAGCUUAACUCCGAAACUGCAUUCGAUACUGCGGUGCUUGAGGACUGGAGGAGGAGACUGGAAUUCAUGGUGUAGCAGUGAAAUGCGUAGAGAUCAUGAGGAAGACCAGUGGCGAAGGCGGGUCUCUGGACAGUUCCUGACACUGAGCACGAAGGCCAGGGGAGCAAACGGG
rnacentral:rRNA from 1 species